AUCCAGCUGACGAGUCCCAAAUAGGACGAAACGCUGGAU
rfam:Schistosoma mansoni strain Puerto Rico chromosome 2, complete genome